CAGUGAAUAGUUUAAGUUUAGAAUAUGGUAUUUGGAUUACCAAGGUGCAAAUCACUGA
rnacentral:tRNA from 1 species